CAGUGGGAUGGAGGUUGCAGUUCUUAUAAGUACAGUCACGGAUGUCGUCAAGCGGCAGAUGAGGUGAUUGAAAAGGAAGAAUUGCCGAAAUCAAUCAUCGCUUUGAAGAUGAUCGAUUGGGAUUAGAUCGAACAGGUCUAAUACUGUCACAGGUCAGAUAUGACUUGUGGGGAGCUAUCUUUCAC
rfam:Exiguobacterium sibiricum 255-15, complete genome.